rnacentral:rRNA from 1 species
UGGGGGAUAUUGCACAAUGGGGGGAAACCCGUGAUGCAGCGACGCCGCGUGAGGGAAGAAGGUUUUCGGAUUGUAAACCUCUGUCUUCGGUGACGAAAAUGACGGUAGCCGAGGAGGAAGCCACGGCUAACUACGUGCCAGCAGCCGCGGUAAUACGUAGGUGGCAAGCGUUGUCCGGAAUUACUGGGUGUAAAGGGAGCGUAGGCGGGGAUACAAGUUGAAUGUUAAAACUAUGGGCUCAACCCAUAGUUGCGUUCAAAAACUGUAUUUCUUGAGUGAAGUAGAGGUAAGCGGAAUUCCUGGUGUAGUAGUGAAAUGCGUAGAUAUCAGGAAGAACACCGGAGGCGAAGGCGGCUUACUGGACGAUAACUGACGUUGAGGCUCGAAAGCGUGGGGAGCAAACAGGAUUAGAUACCCUGGUAGU